AAUUUACUAAACUAAAUUUUGAAUUCUUGGACAGUUUGUAGAUCUCCACUUCUUUUGAACUGUACAUGUUUACUUUAGCAGAGACAGUUCCUCACCAGUCAGCUUAGUUUGGGCUUCUGGAUUAUCUGCUAGUGACAUCAUUGGGCAGGUAGGUCUUGCUGUCAGCUCUCUUCUUUGAUGAAGCCAUUGCCCAGCCUCUGAGCUUCGGGGCUGGGGGUCAUACUGGCUGAGAACAGUUGGCUAGGACUGCUUGCUUGGUUCCCUGGCAGAGUGAGUCUAGAGGAUAGACUCUGGGGUUCCCUAGCUUCUCUGGUCAGGCUUUCUAGAUGGUCAGGACGGAGUUACUCAGUAGGCUAGGCUACGAAUUGGGCUCUCUGCGGCAGUCAGGUAGUAGGACAGGCCCUGGGCCUGCAUGGCUCAGUGUUUGGUACCCAAAUCAGGUGUGACUAUAGCCUGAAUUCCCUGGCUAGUCAGGGCCCAUGAUUUACUCUGUGGAUGGGGAGUACACACUGUUCAGUUCCAGUGCUACGGGGAGCAGGGGCUGUUGGUGGUGCUGGCGGCUCCCUGUGGGCACUGGUGCAGUUCCCUUGUGCGUGGGCUGCAAGCUGUCUUCAGCCGUGGGUGGGCCUAUGGAUUCAAGUCCCUGCCCAGGCUCAGCAGAACCAGCUUCAAGGUCGGUAAGAUUGUUGUCUUGACUCAAGCCAACCCACAUCCCAAACCCUCUGGCUGGACGGGCCCCCAGCUUCGCUCUGCAGACUCUGGAGACCUGCCUGCCGGACUCCCUGCUCGAACGUUGUGGGCUGCGCAGCUUUCCAGGCUUUCUGGUUGGGCGGGGUCAAGAGCUCCACUCAGCCGUGGGCAGGCUUAGGACUCUGCUCCCUCCAGGGCUGGAAAGUUGCUUCAUUUGAGGACCUAGAUCAGGCAGCCCUGCUUCCUACCGGGUCCCCUCGUCAGACCACAUCACUGACUGACUUCUGCAGAUGAAUAAGCCACGGGUUGGGACCGCGGGUUGGGACCGCUGCUUGGGCGCUGCAGGUAGGAACUCUUGCCGCCAAGAUCGGAGAGCUGGUUGUUGCAACCCCUUCUUCCUCUUCUCUCAUGGUCAGAUUGCCAGUGGUCAAGCUCCGCAGAUCCCCUGAAAUCCUGGUGCGGCCAGACCCAAGCUGGGGCUCCGAAGAUGUGACCCACAAUGUUGGGAAGCUUGCUGACCACGCUGGCUGUUUUUCCCACCAGAGAAACCAAGGCCAAGGGGAGGGGUGGUUCAGAAGGGUGCUUCAGCCUCCUCUUUGUGUUCCAGAAUUCUCUCAGUGGUCUUUUCCUUGUAUACUUGUUUUUGUGAUGGGGAGCAAAGUCAGGAAUGACCUAUGUCACCAUCUUGGUGAUAUCACCUGUCACCAUUCUGUUUCAUUGGCUAGGUCUGGAAAUGCAUUUUGGACAUCUCAAGCACUUCAUCUUGUGUGCAAGGAGACAUACGUGAAGGCCGCCAGCACAGAGUUGAAGGUGUUCCCUGAGAGGCGGAGGCUUCUAGGACCUGUGUCUACACUAACUGAACCUUGGAUCAUGUGUCCCUGUGCUGUCCCGGGAGUGUCAUGUCAAGUUCCCAAUUCCAAAAGAUACACCGUAUUCCUGCUCAACAGAUUGACAGAAGAGAUUGUUUCUCCUCCUGUCACGAAGUGGAUGUUUCACCAGUCCGUGGGAACGUGUCUGGCACUCACACUAGACUGAUGUGUGAUAGAGGCUGUGGCAAAGUCUUGAAGGGACAAAACUGGGCAAGGUGUUUUCAAGCCUGAAACAGAAAGAACAAAUGUGAGGGUGAGUCCGCCUUCCCCCGGGAAACUCCUGGGGGCGUCCCGACACUCACGGGUGUGUAGGCACAUACAGCACAACCUCUCACCAGAGCAGCCGUGUUUUCACCGUAGACCCAGACACGGGCAGGACAGACUUCCCUCUUACCAGAAACUUUUCAAGACCUCCUUCCCCCGCACUUGCUAGGAAGUGUUCACCUGUGUUUUGCUUCGUGGUCCAGAAAAAAAAAAAAGUGGCUUCGAAUCCUCCUGAGACUUUGCCACUUGCAGAGUCCCAGUGUGGCCCCACGGUUUUCUUCACUGUUGUAAAGGCUGCACUGUGAAACCUCUACUAUUACUCUGUCCCUAUUUUCUUGCCAUCUUCCCAACACGUCAGACCCAAAUUUGGAGGUAGAAAAGGUCUUACAAAGGUCUAGGCAGAAGUAACUCCACAGACACUAGAACUGUCCACAGGGAAAGGCUUGUUUGUGUGGCGGAGGAAGCGGUCAAGAAAAGAGCACUGUAACCAACAGCCCAUCUGACCAUCCUAAGUCAGGCUUCUUUGGUAAGAUGCGCAUUCAGCAGGAAAUCCUGAAGCGAGAAACCUCCUAUGAACACUCGCCAACAGCCUGAACUGGAUGAUUUUAGGAAAUCUGAGCCAGGUCUGCAGCGCUGGGGCACCCACACUGUGACCCAGGAGAUCGUGGCAUAGCCUGUGUGCAGGUGACGACAGAAAUAAGGGGCCACGAGUCAGAAGAUGCAACAUCAUAACCACACAGCUACGGUUCAUGGAACAAUCUCCCUAGGGAGAGACCAGGGUGCUGCUUUCAAGGGCAGUGAGCAGGUCAUUCAGAGCCUCACCUGUCACGUUCGAGUAACAUGCACCCAUCUCGAGCUUGUGGCCACCGUGCUAGUCCAUCAGUUUAACUCACCGAGAGGCCCGGCGCUGGAGAUGCUCCCAGGUCAAGCUCUGGGAGGCCUGCAC